rnacentral:rRNA from 1 species
UACGUAGGGUGCGAGCGUUAAUCGGAUUUACUGGGCGUAAAGCGUGCGCAGGCGGUUUGUUAAGCGAGAUGUGAAAGCCCCGGGCUCAACCUGGGAACCGCAUUUCGAACUGGCAAACUAGAGUCUUGUAGAGGGGGGUAGAAUUCCAGGUGUAGCGGUGAAAUGCGUAGAGAUCUGGAGGAAUACCGGUGGCGAAGGCGGCCCCCUGGGCCUGUACUGACGCUCAUGCACGAAAGCGUGGGGAGCAAACAGG